rnacentral:lncRNA from 1 species
CACUGUGUAGCUCAAGCUGGCCUUGAACUCACUAUGUAGCCUAGGUGGGCCCUGAACUCAUGGUAAUCUUCCUGCUUCAGCCUCCCAAGUCCUGGGAUUACAGGUGUCCACCACUGCACCCAGAGGAAUAUCUUUUUUGAGGCAAAGACCUUCAUUGUCACAGUGGGCUCCCACAGAUUGAGAUGAAAUUUAGGUGCAAUGAGGCCAAUGACACCAUUAGAUCACAUCAUUUGCAGUAUUUCCAUUGAGGUAUUUACCACAUUACUGAUAAAGCAACUGAGCCUAGGACAAGGAAGAUAAACCAGCUCAAAAUCACAGAGCAGGGUAAGUCCUUGAGCUUCUGCAAACUUGGAAGAGAAAAUUAAUACCAGAACUAUUCAAGAACCAGGGGAUCCCAGAAGGUUCCAUUUACUUAUGCAUCAAGUGGGAAAACAAGACCAGCCGCCUCUACUGGCAGGGAAUCUUGUGGGAAAUGUGGGCAUGGACAUACACAGAAGGAAGAUAGUGUGAAGACACAGCAGAAUGCAGACAUCUGCCAGCCUGGGGGAGAGGCCUCAGAAGAAACUGAACUGGCCAACAAACUUGAUUUUGGACUUCCAGCCUCCACACUUGUGAGAAAAUACAUUUCUGUUAUUUAAGCCAUCCAGUCUGUGGUACUUUGUU